rnacentral:lncRNA from 1 species
GAUUUAUUGGAGCAGCUGUAAUUGUUACUGGUUUUUAUUCUGUGAUGUGGGGAAAAGCCAAAGAAGGGAACUCAGGUGUGGAAACUGGAGUAAGAAGCUUAGAAUCAAGCAGCCAAAAGGACCCCCUCUUGCAAAAAAACUUUGAAGAAACAUAAAAGUUUUGCAAAAGAGAAAAAGGCCUACAGAAAAAAAUGGGUAAUUUUCACCAUCUUUAUCUGGAAAAUAGAAAGAGGAAAAUGUUUAGAAACAUUUAUCUGGAAAGCUACCUCUGUGCAGAAAUUAAGGUUUGAGCUUAAAAUGGACUUGGUUUUGCUUAUCUUGAGGUCCAGCCCCACUGCCAAUUUAGUUGUGAUGGACCAGCUCUAGAUAACUUUCAUCAUUCAUCCUUUAAAAUGUUCUACCUUUAUAUAGACAGUCCUACAGCAUUUAAUCCAUGACCUAUGAUACCACUUCAACCGUAUACAUAUUUCUUUUUAUUAGAAAUUAUGGGUCAACAUGCAGAAUGUGAAGAUAAUUUCUGUUAAUUUUUGGCGCCUCUGUUCAUGAGGAGACAAUUAAUGCCUGUCUAUCCUUUCAAGUUAUUGAAGGAAUGAAUUAUAAUCUUCUCUACUCAAAACAUUUUUUUCUUUUUCUUUUUCUUUUUUGGUUUAAUUUGGUUGUCAACGCAUUGAAAAGCUUUUGUGUAAUGCUUCAUGUGAGUUUGUCGUACAGAAGAUCAUGUUCGAUUUAUUUUAUUUAAGACAUUUUCAAGUUCAACUUCCGAUUAUUAUUGUUGUUGUUAUUGGUAAACCUGAAGGUGGGCAAGAAGACUAUCAGGAGUAUGUAAAUGCGAGUGACAUGAAGACUUUGUUUUCAAUUGUAAUAUUGAGUCAGGAACAUGGGCGGCACCAUCAAGUUUGUGACGCUGCAAAGAAAAGUUGAGCUUUGGAGUUGGUCAAAACUCAAUCCAUCCUGUCUGUAUGGAAAAGAUUGUUGUGAUAGAUUAAGGAAAGUACAGCGCUAACUCCUAUGACUCCAAUUACUCUCUCAAGUGUAAUUAAGAAAAUGAAAGAUUGUUUAUGUAUUCAUAUCUCACUAUUCCAGACAAUUUAUGCGAGUUUGACUUGCAGGCACUUGCGAAUGGAUAUGCUUUAUGAAGAAAAAUCAAAUGCAUUUCUUAUGAGUGAGUUUUAGUCUCUGAAAAGAUGAUAUUUAACCACUGAGCCUCUGAUUCAGAACCUAAAAAAAUUUGUUAGUCGGUACCGAUGUCAAAGGAGAAUGCUUUAGCUGGCACACUCUAUACACCAUGGAGAUCCAAUCCUUUUCAUAUUCUUAUUGUGAGGGUCAAAGCCUUUGCUAAGAUAUCACAGCAACUCCUGAUGUCUGAUGUCAAGUGAAAGCGCAAAUUCUUCUGUAGAGUCGAUGGAAAAAAACAUUAAAGAUAAAAAUGAAAGCCUCUUGCAAGCAGUCCUUUUUGAGAAUUCCAAAAGCAUUUUCUGAUGCUAGUGUGUGCCGGUUGCCUGUGAUGUUAACUCUUUUGAGAUAAACAAGUGCCAUGUGUCGGCUGCAGUUUCCUUCUUGAGUCAUGCUCGUCUGUGUCCCUGGCAUGGAACGUGAUCUACGAAGUUCAUUCACCUUUGAUGCAUUGAGCCAGACAGAACCAGACAUCACUAAAUGCCACUAACCGAAAGGAGAAAUUAAACAGCGAAGCUAAUUAAUGCUCAUGAUCUAAGCUUAAUUAUAAUGAAUGGUUAAGAUUUAUCAAAAGUUUAGGAUCGAUCAUCAAUUAAUUAAUUAAUUGACUCUUUUGCCACUGAACUUGUAACUAGUGAUAUAAUCAUAUAAAAAUAUGAGUUCGAGUUUUAGAAGGCUCACUCUUAACCUUUGACUAAAAGGAGAGAUCUAUCUAAAUAUUAGUGAGAGAGAAUUUUUAAAUUAACGUAUAAUAAAUUUUUGAACUGUACUGAAAAAUGUGUGUAUAUAGAGAGAAAGGGGACUGUAAUAGAAUCCGGUUUACAAUAUACGUGUAAAUUGUAAUAAUUUGAAAAACAAAAAAAAAAAGUUAAUUGAAUCUUUUCUUGGACAUUAAUUAAUGCAACAAAUUCUGGGUCCAGCACAGAGGGCUGUGUGUGAUUCCAUCUAUGCACACUUCACUGUGUCCGGCAUCAAGUAUCAAAAAGAAAAGAAGGCUUGCGUAUCAGCACUAAUACAAAACAAAAGUUGAGGGGGGGCCAAGACCUUUCAAAUUAAUCGAUGAGGGUAGGGACAUUGUUAAUGUCCACCACAAAUCGUCCCUCAAGAAAGUACAAAACAUGCAUAUACUGGCCCCGCACUUAAUUUAAUUAGUCUUGAACAUGACCAAAUAUAGUAAAAAUAUUCAUGAUUAAGGGCAAGGACAAAUCAGAUGAAAACAUUCACGUCACAUUAUUAUUAAUCUCUAAUUAAUUGCUUAAGUUUUAAUAUUUUUUUACCAAAACACGACCAAUUUCGUUCCAAACAUGAAGCCACGUCGGCUUAUUCUCCCUUUGCAUAAAGAUUGAGUCACUAAAUCGAGUAGCUAUUUCUCGUACAAAGACAAAGUAGCUUCACAACUUUCUGAAAGGCUAUCUCUCUCUGUCAUUCUCCAAUUCUCAUUGUGGAAGCUCUUAGUUGGUGCAUUAUUGUUUGACUGUAAAUUAUAUCAGCAGUCAGCUAGUCAUCAGCAGGCUCCUAGCUAGAUCAACCCCUUCACUCAUAAAUAUAUACGAGAGAGCUAGCUUGUUGUACAUGCUUCAUUAGACAAAUUAAUUAAAGAGUGAAAGAUAACAGAUAUACAUACGAUCGAAUUAUAUAUGAUGGGACUAGUGAGAGGACAAAUGGAGGAGGAGAUGGUGCCAUUUACAUUGAUGGUGAUAAUGGAGGGUUGUACAAUAGGGCUUACUAUAGUGACCAAAACGGCCAUGAAUGGAGGAAUGAGCCCUUUUGUUUUUAUUGCCUACACAAAUGCUCUUGGAUCCAUUCUUCUUCUUCCUUAUUCCUUCUUCUUUCAUCACCGCGGGUCUGAGGCUGUGGCUGGGGGGAGGUUGUUACACAAUAAUCACCCCUCUUUCUCCUUUUUAAUUCUUCAUGUUCCAUGUACAACAUAACAAUGAAUUUAAUUUAAUAAUAUUCAUUAUAUUAAUAUAAAUAUCGUCGAUCGUCUGCCAUUAAUCUUUUUAAAUUAAUUUUGCUUGCUGCAGAAUAGAGCAGCCACUCUUCACCUUACCUCUUAUGCUGCGCUUCUUCUUCUUGGGCCUAACCGGGUCUGUAUAUUUCGUGGCCUCCCUUAAUUUUUUUUCGUUUUAAUUCUUUAACACUGCUACUGAUGGAUAUAUUUUUCGUACAAAUUAAUUACUUUCUGCCUUAAUAUAUGUUUUUGCUGCAGGGUAGCUAUUUCUCAGAACCUUGCAUUCUUCGGCUUGUAUUAUAGUUCGCCUAUCGUUGUGUGCGUGAUGGGCCUUUUGAUCCCUGCUAUCUCCUUCUUGCUUUCGAUCAUCACUAGGUUUUUCUCUUCAGCUUCAUUUACAUACAUACAUGCAUUUCCUCUGAAUUAAUUAUUCUUUUUCUCUUUUUUUUUUUCUCAAAUCAUCAUGAGCACGGGAUGAUAUCAACCAAUUUGAGAUCUUGAUAACAUUUCUUUGUUUUGAUGAAUUUUUUACAUGAAUACACUAACUACGUACCAUCUAUGCAUGAUCCAAAUCUAUUUCUCUGUUGCACUAUAUUUAUUUUAACAUCACUUACUUGUAUUAUUUUGCUCGUAUAUAUUAAAAUCCAGAUCCGAAAAAAAUUCUCGUUGAACAUAUAAAAUAUCGGCACCAUGGGCCAUUUCUAAUGGCGUUUUAGACCACCCAUUGGAACAAUUUAAUAUUAUAUAUACUAUAUAGUUCUCCUGUUUUGGGCUUAGCUUUAAUUAUAGAUGUCAACUUGGCUAUGUGUGGACUCAAAAGAGUCGAGUCCGAAGCGACCAUCAUAAAUAUAUUUCGACUACCAUAUGAUAUUUGGACAUGUAGACUUGUAGAGUAUGGUUGCAACUCCAAUAAUAACAAUAAUGAUAAUAACGUAAAUCCCAGGACAACAAAACUAGAUUGGAGAAGCUCAAGCAUCCGAGUCAAAGUAAUUGGCACCUUGAUAUCGAUCAUGGGGGCUAUAUAUGUACAGGUGUACAGAGGCCCAUUCAUAAGAAAAGCUGCUUCUGAUGAUAAACUUGAAGCAAAAAUUAAUCCACCACUCCUCAUUUUCUACUCAACACCAGACCGUUGGGUCCUUGGUUCCACUUUGCUUGCGGCUUCUUCUUUAUCUGUCUGCGUAUGGAACAUUAUUCAGGUAAAAUUAUUAAUUAAUAUUAUAUUUCACUGAUCUUAUGAUCAAUUCAUUCUCGUUAAAAUCGACCACAGAGAGAAAAGCGCACUGAAUUUAAUUGUGUAAUUCACAUUAAUUUGGUCAGGUGGGAACUAUCAAACAGUAUCCCCAAGUGAUGAAAGUGGUCUCUUUUUAUAGCUUGGCUGGGACUAUUCAGUGUUCAAUUUUCUCGCUGAUUAUGGAGAGAAACAUCAAUGCUUGGAAAUUAAAGCUAAACAUGGAGCUUCUCCUCAUUAUUAUAACAGUAAGUUAUUCAAAUAUAAUUACCAAAAUUAAGCCAAUCACUCCAAAGAUAUUAGUGUGAGCACCCUCUUUUUUUUUUUUUUUAAAUAUGAACAUGUUAUUAAGUCAUGUGGUUUAAUAGCAUUAAAAUCUAAAUCUAUUAAACUAUACAGUUUAAAAUGUGUCCGAAUAAAAAAAAAAAAAAAAAGGACGCCUAUAUUAGAAAAAGGCUAUAUAUAGAUAAUAUGAACUUAAUUAAUUCCCUUAUUUUUAAAGACACAUAUGGUUUGUUAAUCGUUACAGGCAAUUUUUGGGAGUGCCAUUCGUAGCACCGUCCAUGUCUCGUGUGCCAAAAUGAAAGGCCAUCUUUACGUGCCCAUGUUCAAACCAUUUGGAAUUGUUUUCGCCACCGCUUUUGGUUUAACCUUCUUUACAAAUUCUCUCCAUUAUGGAAGGUAAUACUUAUAUAACAUAUCGUUUAUAAUUUAUCAAGCAGGUGACAUGUCAGAAAAUGUUAUAUAUGGAACACGAGUAUACAUAUAUUUUCAGCACAUAUAUAACAUGUUGUAUUAUUUACUGAAUGAAUUAUUUAAAUAAAAUAAAAUUAAGUUUAAUUCUUUCAUAAUUUAAAAAAAUUACUAAAGAUAGCCAUAUACAUAAUGGUUAUUCUUAAUCUUGUUGGGUGUCAAACAAAUUAAUCCCUCCAAUUAAUAGAUGAAGUGAAAUGCAUGCAUGUACAGUGUGAUAGGAGCAGUUAUAACCGGAAUGGGGUACUAUACUGUAACGUGGGGAAAUAUCAGAGAGGAUGAAUUACUGCGUAAAGGCCAUAAUUCUAAAGAUGCUGCUGACGAUCAAAAGGUCCCUCUCUUGCAAGAAGAUUCGCAAGUCUGAAGAAGCUCUCUGCAAUUUGAACAUGCUCAAAGCAAAAACUUUAUUCAAGCUGCUUUUUCGAGUAAGUAUAAAAUUCGAUCUGCCACACACACAUAUAUAUAUUAAAAUUUUGACGUGCACCAGAAUUUAUUAACUAAUCUAAUACGUUCCUUAACUAUUAUUAAUUAUCUUGUUUUUAUUUUUACUUUCUAGUUGGCUUGAGUUGAGGGAGAUUCAUCAAGCCCUGUUGUAUGAUACGGAAGAAACGUGCGUGCCACCUGUGUAUCGACCAAAAAAUUUUAGAGUUUAGGAAGAUUGGUGUGUUCAAUUGUAGAUAUUUGGUUGAGAGAAAUGAAAGAAUAACAGUGAAGGAUUUUGCAGCAGGUUUUUUUGGUGUGUGCAAGGUCCUCUUGAUGUACAUAUAUUAGUCUUUGUGAAUUGUGAUUGAAUGAAAUUUUUCUCUUUUUUUUUUUUUUCCUCUCUCUCUCUCUGCGUAGCUGUUACUUGCUACAUACAACUACUCUGCCAAACACCUUAGAAUUGUAACUGAGGAUGAAUUAGAAAAUUUGAACUCAAAUUUUCAUUUUGAUAUGUGAUUUGUCUCUCAUUACGUAGAAGAUAAAUUUUUAUAAGUUUUAAGUGAAGUAUCACACUAUCUCACUAUUUAUAAAAUCAACGACACAUUAUAUAUAUAUAUAUAUAUAUAUAUAUAAAGAUAAAGCUGGGACUACAAGAGGUGAUGUGACAUCACCAUUUCUCAUAUUUGUAUAUUCUCUAUUAUCUUAUAAAUAGAGAAAUUUUCUUUCAAAUUUAGCUUUUCAUCUUCUCAUAAUUAAUUUGACUGUUAUUACACAAUCAUUAUGUAACAGUUUAUCAAAAGACUCACUAUUUUCUCUAAUUGAAACCUUCUUGAUCAUAAAUUAAGCAAUAAUUUAUAAACAUUUUUAAUCACUCUUCUCCUCUGCCUCACCUUAAUUUAUAAAUAGCAACAAAAAAUAUGAUAUCCCACAUAAACACAACAUAAAAUAACAGAAAAUAGCAAUGGCUCUAAAACAUGUGUUUUUCAUUUUGGCCCUCACUUGCCUGAUCAUGGCAAAUAUUGCAAAUGCAACCAGCAUGAGUGAUCGCCUCAACAAUAAUAUGAAACCAUGCUACGAUCAUGCAACAAGACUUGAAGCUAGCGGAGGCCUAACGGAGUGUUGGAACACGUUAAUGGAGUUGAAAUCAAACUCAAAUCAUAUCGUUAUAUUCUUCUUUAAGAGCUAGACUGAUAUUGGCCCUGACUGUUGCCGCACUAUUGAUAUCAUCACCCGUAAUUGCUGGCCUGCAAUGCUCACCUCUCUCGGAUUCACUGCUGAAGAAGGAAAUAUACUGAGAGGCUACUGUGAUGCAUUUUCUGCUCCUUCUCCAGGUGGCCUUGCGGUGAUAUAUCAACCUCAAAUUUCCAAGGUUUUGACUUAGACAAGGUGCAUUUAUGGCACUUCUAUUUCCGUCGUGUUAAUUUAGCUGAUGCAAUUUUAAGUAAUUAAAAAAAAUCUUUUUUGUUUUAGCUUUACUUUAUUUUUUUCAAGUUUUUUUUGGAAGUCUUGCCUCUUAAUCGAAUAAAAUAAAUCAUUAAAAGUAUAAUAAGGAAAAAAGAAAAUAAUAAAUUAUUUUUUCAAAGAUGCGUGAAGUGCGAUUCUAUUUCCUAGUUUUAAGAUAAAAUUUAAGAUAUUUAAUAUUAUUUAUUUAUAAUUUUCAACUAUUUAUAUUGAUACCAAUAUUAUAAAUCUAUAAAACCCUCCUCCACUCUUAGUCUCCAACAACCAUGUUAUGUGUAUAUAUAUAUUUGGUUGUUUCUUUCGUUGUUGAAAGUUUUCAUAUAAAUCUAUAAAAUGUGAAAGGUCUUGAGUGAUACUGAUAUCAUGCCACCACGUCGUCACCUUACCAUCCAAUUGGAUGACAACACAUAUACACUUAUCACUAAAUUUAAAAUAACCAACAUUACGUAUAAUUAUGUGGUGGUAUGUAAUUAGAUGAUGAGGUGAUGAUGUGGUGGAGUUCCUACCAUCUAAGACUUUCUCAACUUCUAUUGAGGCCACAACACUCACAAAAUUUUGGUCAAAUACUAUGUUUUUAAGUCCCUCAAAUUUGUACGAAUGAGCCUUUGAUCCAAUGGGAGAAGUCUUGCACUUAUAAUAUUGAGUGUAAGGAUUCGAGCCUCCAUCAGAGCAUUAUGAAAGUUAGUUUCAGUACUCCCUCAAUUAUCAACUAAUUGAGUAGAGAUAAUUUCUCACUUACGAAAUGUGAGUGGAGCAUUAUGUUAUUUGGUACAAUUGUAAAUAUUGUAAUUGUAAUGUCUGAUGUAAUAUCAGUAACAAUCUCUAUAUAACAGAAUAAAAAAAAAAGUCCUUCAAAUUUGUAAAAUAAUUUCUCAUUUACUUAUUUCAAUAAUUUCUUUAUUAUUUAGAUGAGUGAAGUCGCAUAAGACCCCUCAUCAUAAUUUAUUAUUUAUUUAUUAAAAAAAAUCUAAGAAAGUUAGGUUAGAGGGGGUCAACGGUUUGCUAUUGCCACAAGCCGGUGGGUUAAAUUUAUAGCCAGCACAAAUGCAGAAGGUAGCUGAUACACCCUUGCAACCGAAGGCUGUAGCAGUUGGGUCACACUCUUUGAGCGAGUGCCAGCUCCCAAAAUUUAAAAAGAAAUAGCAAGUCUGGAGAGAGAAGUUGAGAAUAGAAGAAGAGUCGAUAAGAAGAAGAAUUGAUUCAUUUCAGAUGCCCUUUACAAAAGUUGGUUAUGCUCUACAUAUACACCUCUAUCUUUACAGCUCAGCACACUUGUGGCAAAAAUGACAGCAAAGAAAUAACCCAGUGAAUAUAGAGUUUUAAAACAAAAAUCAAUUACACUACACGACAUAAUCAUUUAACCACCCAGGGGGCUUCCUUAUACGUGUGCUUUUCUGUGAUUCAUUAUGCUCUGCUCCCUCCUCAACAUGUGACAUGGUUUCUUCCUUGUUCUGCUCAUAAUCGGACUCAUCAUUGGGCUGCUCUUCCUGCAAAUAUUCUGGUUGGUUCAACUGAAUUUGGAAGGAUGUAUCAGUAGCCCAAGGAUUUAAUGUGAUGUCUAAUGUUGUAAAUGAUUCUGUGUAAAAUUAAACUACUGCACGAUGUCUGUAAUAAAAUGAUUGUGUGUAAAAUUAAAGUGCUGCCAUAAUUUCUAUGCCUUUGACGAAUUUUCGCAUCUCACCACACUGUCUUUUGGGGAAAUAGAAAAGCUCGGUAAUUGAAGUGAUAUGUAUUGGAAAAAAAACAAAAGAAAAAAAAUUAUGUUAAUUUCCCACUUCCAGAGGCAAUUCCUCAGAUACCAUAAUAAUUCUAUAAAGAGAAAUCAUGUAAAUAACAGAUUAGUCGAUAGCUUGUAAUUUUCGCGUGGUAAAAAUUAAUACAAACCUUUAUGAUAAAUGUAAAUAAUAAGGUUAUGGUUAUGUUGGAGUUGAUCUAUGAUGGAGUACGAAUCUCAACCACACACGCAAAGUGAUAAAUAAUAAAAAAAUCAUUGUAACUUUAAUCGUAUGUGUUUGAGGGAAAAAUAGGAAAGGCAGUAAAGCGCCACGUGUCGACCAAUGGAACGAUUCCAGCGUCAUUUGAGAUACUCCACACAAAUAGAGGUACCCCAUGUAAAUAGAGGUACCCCAUAUAAAUAGAGGUACCCCGUACAAUUAGAGGUACCUCACGUAACUCGAGGUACCUCCGAAAAUAUCCGCCAUAAGAAACGUCUCCGCCUCCUAAAAGAUAUUAUUUGAUUUUGUCAGAAUUAAGAAUCAAGAACGUCGUAUCAAAAGGGGGGGACAGCCGCCUGCUACCUCUGCCAAAAGUGAAGGACAUUGUCCCAAGGACAAUGGUCCCUAGCCGCCUACCCGACAGCUACUGCAGAGGUACCCCGGACCACUCUCCAACGCGCGCCACGUUUCCAAAAGAUGAGAUACGCCGCGAACAUGCACAUAACGGCCCCAAGAAUCAUAAAAGCGGUAAAAGGACGUUAGCCAAAAAGGGUACGUCACGUGGCAGCUAAGGUACUCCAUAUAUAAAGGCACCUAGGUUUCAUUCUCCAUCAUGCUCUCAUUCGCCCAAAAACACUCACACUAAAAAAAAAAGAGGUUUUCUUCAACCUUAAACCCUAAUUUACAGAGGGCUAGCUAGCUCUCUUUGCCAUAAAAGCUUGAGUUUGCUAACUUGAAUGUCGGAGUGUGAACGCCGAGGUACCCCGGCUUCACCUCUAACCUCUAUUUCACUGUUUUGCAGGCGUGAAGCUCAUUUUGAAGGACACCUCUCUUGUUUCUAACCUUCCACCAUUGUUACUACUCUCUCUCCCCUUCUCACCUCCCACGAAUCUCAGAUAUACCGCCCAACACACAAUAAACCAGUGAGGUACCCCAUCUCCCCAAAAAAUAUAAAUUCAUUGUUCAAGAUAGAUUUUGACUUUUCCUACCCUAAAAUCAGUUGAAAACAGUAUGGUUAUGAAGAAAUAUUAUACCUUAGAGCGAUUUUAAUAUAAUCAGACUCAAAUAAUAAAUGCGUAACAAAUGUAAAUAAUAAUGCAAGCACACAUGUCUUAUGUAAUUAAUAAAUGUAAUAUUAGGAAAUUCUUAGUAACUCUAACAAAUUUAAAAAGCCUAAAAUCAUUCCCCAAAAUCCCUUAAUAACCCAAUCAAAAGAAAUGACACUUCUUAUUUUCUUACUAACAAUGACCAUAACUAUUAAUAAAGAGAAUCCGAAGGGUUACACAGCUAGCCCUGCAACCUACUUAAAAGUCAAUGAUCAAUCCUUGAUUAGUAAUUAUAUUUAUGUAGAAGAAUGAAUAUCAACAUGCAGCUGAUAGGACUGGCAAAGUCAGUGAGUUGGUUGUCAAACUUUUCAAGAUUCAAUAAUUUAGAGCAGGUGAUAAUGCAAGCAUGAUGAUCUUCAUUCUUCUACAUAAAAGAUUUGUUUAUUUUAUAUUUAAUGUAAGAUACAUCCUUCAUAAAUUGAGCUGGACACUAGGACGGUAAAACUAUCGACUGAUUCAAGUAUUGAUGUCUGGAUUAAUACACCCAAAAAAAAAAAAAAAAAGAUUUCUUCUUCCGUUGAAUAUACCUUCCCAUGCAUUAUCUGUUUAGAUGACUACUUGAUUCGCUACAGAAUUUCAAAGUAUCUACCUACAGAAAAGAAUAUUAUGAUGGCUUAGAAUAUCGAGUAAACAUUUGAUACGUGUCAUCAAGAAAGUAAUCUUUCUGCCCCAAAUUCCAGAGCCCGCACUGGCAAUCGGAGCGAGAGAAGAGAUGGGAAAAGUUGGUUUAGCGCCGGUUAUUGGGAUGAUGAUGGCAGAGUGCACUCAAUUUCAAAAUUACUAAUAAAUAAAUAAAUAAAUAAUUUUAAAUUAUAAAAUUAUAAAUAUUAGUAAAAAUAAAAAAUAUUAAAAUAUUUAUAUUAUUAAAUUUUUAGGCCUAAUUAAUUAAUUAAAGUCCUAAAUUUUUAUUUAGGACAUUAAAAAGAUCGAGUAGAUUUUAUUAGUCUAAAUUUUUUUUAAUUUUAAUAUUCUUUAAAUAUUUUAAACUUAAAUUUAUUUUUUAUUUAUUUUUAGAUGUCAUAAUUGCCCACAGUGAAUCACAAUUUUAAUAACUAAUAUAAUCUAAUUUAAUAUUUACUCUUGAUUUGCUCCGAUUUAACUAUUGUAUUGUAAAGGAAAUAGUCCACAUUUAUAAAGUGCCUACACCACCAUUGAAAAAGUUAAUUUUGAAUCUAAAUUCGAUUUUAUUUGUAACAAUUUUGUAUUAGACUAUUAAUUUGUUCAUGAUAGUUUGUAAAAGAACUUUGUAUCUCUUGCAUACUGCGUUACUUACUAAUUUAAUGUAUGUGACUUUUGUAAUGGAUAUUAAUGUAAGAUAUAUUUCGAACUUUAUUUUUAUUUAAAUUUUUUAUUUUAAUAUUAUUAAUUCAAAAUCAAAAACUAAAAAAAUACAUUAGUUAUUCGGGGAUCGGUGACUCUCGGGGAUCCCCUGUUAUUAUUCGGGGAGGGGAUGAAGAUUCUCUCAAGUAAUUCUGACGGGGACGGAGAGGGGACGGGGACAUACGUAAAAUAUCGGGAAUAGAUAUGGGAAGAUUGGUCCUCUCUUCUUCCCUCCCCAUUGACAUCCCUACUAAAUAUUAGUGAGAGAGAAUUUUUAAAUUAACGUAUAAUAUAUUUUUUAACUGUACUGAAAAAUGUGUGUAUAUAGAGAGAAAGGGGACUGUAAUAGAAUCCGGUUUACAAUAUACGUGUAAAUUGUAAUAAUUUGAAAAAAAAAAAAAAGUUAAUUGAAUCUUUUCUUGGACAUUAAUUAAUGCAACAAAUUCUGAGUCCAGCACACAGGGCUGUGUGUGAUUCCAUCUAUGCACACUUCACUGUGUCCGGCAUCAAGUAUCAAAAAGAAAAGAAGGCUUGCGUAUCAGCACUAAUACAAAACAAAAGUUGAGGGGGGGCCAAGACCUUUCAAAAUAAUCGAUGAGGGUAGGGACAUUGUUAAUGUCCACCACAAAUCGUCCCUCAAGAAAGUACAAAACAUGCAUAUACUGGCCCCGCACUUAAUUUAAUCAGUCUUGAACAUGACCAAAUAUAGUAAAAAUAUUCAUGAUUAAGGGCAAGGACAAAUCAGAUGAAAACAUUCACGUCACAUUAUUAUUAAUCUCUAAUUAAUUGCUUAAGUUUUAAUAUAGAUUUUUACCAAAACACGACCAAUUUCGUUCCAAACAUGAAGCCACGUCGGCUUAUUCUCCCUUUGCAUAAAGAUUGAGUCACUAAAUCGAGUAGCUAUUUCUCGUACAAAGACAAAGUAGCUUCACAACUUUGAUGCAUUUUCUGCUCGGUGGUCUUGCAGUAAUAUAUUAACCUCAAAUUUCUAAGGUUUUGACUUAGACAAGGUGUAUUUAUGGCACUUCUAUUUCAGUCGUGUUAAUUUAGCUGAUGCAAUUUUAAAUAAUUAAAAAAAUCUUUUUGGUUUUAGCUUUACUUUAUUUUUUUUGGAAGUCUUGCCUCUUAAUCGAAUACAAUAAAUUAUUAAAAGUAGAAUAAGGAAAAAAAAAGAGAAUAAUAAAUUCUUUUUUCAAAGUUGCGUGAAGUGUGAUUCUAUUUCCUAGUUUUAAGAUAAAAUUUAAGAUAUUUAAUAUUAUUUAUUUAUAAUUUUCAACUAUUUAUAUUGAUACCAAUAUUAUAAAUCUAUAAAACCCUCCUCCACUCUUAGUCUCCAACAACCAUGUUAUGUGUAUAUAUAUAUUUGGUUGUUUCUUUCGUUGUUGAAAGUUUUCAUAUAAAUCUAUAAAAUGUGAAAGUCUUGAGUGAUAUUGAUAUCAUGCCACCUCAUCGUCACCUUACCAUCCAAUUGGAUAACACCACAUAUACACUUAUCACUAAGUUUAAAAUAACCAUAGUACAUUACGUAUAUGCAUGUGGUGGUAUGUAAUUAGAUGAUGAGGUGAUGAUGUGGUGGAGUCCCUACCAUCUAAGACUUUCUCAACUUCUAUUGAGGCCACAACACUCACAACAUUUUGGUCAAUACUAUGUUUUUAAGUCCCUCAAAUUUGUACGAAUGAGCCUUUGGUCCAAUGGGAGAAGUCUUGCACUUAUAAUAUUGAGUGUAAGGAUUCGAGCCUCCAUCAAAGCAUUAUGAAAGUUAGUUUCAGUACUCCCUCAAUUAUCAACUAAUUGAGUAGAGAUAAUUUCUCACUUACGAAAUGUGAGUGGAGCAUUAUGUUAUUUGGUACAAUUGUAAAUAUUGUAAUUGCAAUGUCUGAUAUAAUAUCAGUAACAAUCGCUAUAUAACAAAAUUUUAAAAAAAGUCCUUCAAAUUUGUAAAAUAUUUUCUCAUUUACUUAUUUCAAUAAUUUCUUUAUUAUUUAGAUGAGUGAAGUCGCAUAAGACCCCUCAUCAUAAUUUAUCAUUUAUUUAUUAAAAAAAAUCUAAGAAAGUUAGGUUAGAGGGGGUCAACGGUUUGUCGUUGCCACAAGCCGGUGGGUUAAAUUUAUAGCCAGCACAAAUGCAGAAGGUAGCCCAAGGAUUUAAUGCGAUGUCUAAUGUUGUAAAUGAUUCUGUGUAAAAUUAAACUACUGCACGAUGUCUGUAAUAAAAUGAUUGUGUGUAAAAUUAAAGUGCUGGUUCCAUAAUUUCUAUGCCUUUGACGAAUUUUCGCAUCUCACCACACUGUCUUUUGGGGAAAUAGAAAAGCUCGGUAAUUGAAGUGAUAUGUAUUGGAAAAAAAACAAAAGAAAAAAAAAUUAUGUUAAUUUCCCACUUCCAGAGGCAAUUCCUCGGAUACCAUAAUAAUUCUAUAAAGAGAAAUCAUGUAAUAACAGAUUAGUCGAUAGCUUGUAAUUUUCGCGUGGUAAAAAUUAAUACAAACCUUUAUGAUAAAUGUAAAUAAUAAGGUUAUGGCUAUGUUGGAGCCGAUUUAUGAUGGAGUACGAAUCUCAACCACACACGCAAAGUGAUAAAUAAUAAAAAAAUCAUUAUAACUUUAAUCGUAUGGUUAUGAAGAAAUAUUAUACCUUAGAGCGAUUUCAAUAUAAUCGGACUCAAAUAAUAAAUGCGUAACAAAUGUAAAUAAUAAUGCAAGCACGCAUGUCUUAUGUAAUUAAUAAAUGUAAUAUUAGGAAAUUCUUAGUAACUCUAACAAAUUAAAAAAGCCUAAAAUCAUUCCCCAAAAUCCCUUAAUAACCCAAUCAAAGGAAAUGACACUUCUUAUUUUCUUACUAACAAUGACCAUAACUAUUAAUAAAGAGAAUCCGAAGGGUUACACAGCUAGCCUUGCAACCUACUUAAAAGUCAAUGAUCAAUCCUUGAUUAGUAAUUAUAUUUAUGUAGAAGAAUGAAUAUCAACAUGCAGCUGAUAGGACUGGCAAAGUCAGUGAGUUGGUUGUCAAACUUUUCAAGAUUCAAUAAUUAGAGCAGGUGAUAAUGCAAGCAUGAUGAUCUUCAUUCUUCUACAUAAAAGAUUUAUCUAUCUUACAUUUAAUGUAAGAUACAUCUCCUCACAAAUUGAUCGGUGACACUAGGACGGCAAAACUAUCAACUAAUUAAAGUAUUGAUGUCUGGAUUAAUACACCGAAAAAAAAUAAUAAUUUGAUUUCUUCUUCCGUUGAAUAUACCUUCCCAUGCAUUAUCUGUUUAGAUGACUACUUGAUACGCUACAAAAUUUCAAAGUAUCUACCUACAGAAAAGAAUAUUAUGAUGGCUUAGAAAAUCGAGUAAACAUUUGAUACGUGUCAUCAAGAAAGUAAUCUUUCUGCCCCAAAUUCCAGAGCCCGUACUGGCAAUCGGAGCGAGAGAAGAGAUGGGAAAAGUUGGUUUAGCGCCAGUUAUUGGUAUGAUGAUGGCAGAGUGCGCUCAUGUUGGGCUGAUGUUCGCCGGCAAAGCAGCCAUGUCUGAUGGGAUGAGCAACCUGGUCUUCGUUUUUUACUCCAAAGCAUUCGCCUCUCUCGUUCUCCUCCCCGCUUCACUUCUCUUCCACAGGUUACUUAUCCUUCGUUAGUCUCAAAGAUCAAAGCUUCUCAUGUUUUAAUCAAUUCAUCAUCUCUAUGCAGAUCACAAAUUCCUCCACUCACUUGGCCUAUUCUAUCUGCUUUCUUCCUACUUGGCUUUCUUGGGUAUGCUAAGUUUUACUUCUUUGACCAUGUGGUUGGUUUCUUUUUGUUUGAUUAUAAUAAAUUUUCCUGCUUUUACUCAUUCACAUGCAGCAUAUACUGUGUCACAGCGUUAUUAAUAAUCAAAGAUGUUGUUUGUUAAAGGGUUUGUUGUUUUAUUUUACUUCAAGCAGUACUUCGUCUCAGUUUUUUGGUUACGCUGGGAUUUACUAUAGCUCACCGACACUUUCCACGGCUUUGCUUAAUCUUGUUCCGGGUUUUACCUUCAUUCUUGCCAUCAUUUUCAGGUAAUGCUCCCCCUUUGCUAUGAUCAUUUUGACUUUCUUUUGAUUUUGUUCAUUGGAGUCCGUUUGGGAAGUUUAUGUUACUGAUGCUAAUUAAUUGCAACCAAUAAUAUAAUCAGUUCUCUCUCUUCAUUUGUAUGAGUGUCUGAUUCAGUACUUCAAUUGCAUAAUUAAGUUUUGUGAGUCCCAAUUACAGGCUUGCAAUUACAUAUUAGACAUACUGCUGAAAUUUGCUAAGAGUGUAUUCCAGUUACAAAAUAAUGAUUAUCCAGUCUGAUUCGUGGAUUAGAGUAGUAAGCUAUUUGUAAUUAAUCCACCAUGCAGGGACAGAUAGGUCAUAAUGUUACUCCUAAUUUAGUGGAUUCUUUUGUUGCCCAAAAUCACAUCUUUUGGCGUUUUCUCAUUUGAGCUCCUCUGAUAGUCAUAUCAUCUGAAGAGUUCUUCAGCGACUGGAUGGUUGAGCUCCUUUUAGUUUCCUUUCUCUGUCAGACUUUUCUAUCUCAAAAAGUUUUAACUCAUGUUUUAAUUAAUGAAUGUGCUAAGCAUAUGGUAGAAAACUUUGGAAGAGUAACAGACUCCUAAAUUGCUUAGAGUGAUAUUUUUAUUGCUACCGAUGGAUAUAAAAUGAUUCAACUUCGUGAUUUCAGGGUGGAAAAACUAGAUUGGAGAAGCUCCAGUAGCCUAGCCAAAUCAGUGGGAACCAUAGUGUUAAUUACAGGGGCAUUUAUCAUGACAUACUAUAAGGGACCCCACCUUCUGAUGACAUCUUUGCCACCAAACUUGUCCCUUCAAGUUUUCGUGCCGCAAACAAACUGGGUCUUUGGUGGAUUGCUCCUUGCCGUAGAUUGUGUGUUCACUUCAGCAUGGCUUAUUGUACAGGUUAGAUUCUUAAGAAAUAGCAAGAGUGAGAACCAGUUAUAAGAUUGACUUAUUUUUCGUACAUUUCAGGCUUCAAUCCUUAAGAAAUUCUCAGCUGAGUUCAUCGUAGUCUUUUUUUACUGCUUCUUUGUGGCCAUUCAAUCUGCAAUACUCUGUUUGGUUAUGGAAAGAGACCUAAGCAGCUGGAGCUUAAAACCUGGUGUGAGGUUAGUUGCUGUACUAUACUCGGUAAGUAGAAGUAAAAAGAAAAAGAUUGUUUGUGUACAUGCUUAAAUUAUAUUCACUUUUUGUCUUGAAACCUUAAUAUGGAAAAUGCAGGCUGUUUUUGGCUCUGCAUUCCAAGUUGGUGUUUGUACCUGGUGCCUGCACAGAACUGGGCCUGUAUUUGUAGCUAUGUUCAAGCCCUUGGGUGUUGUAAUUUCAGCUGCGGUUGGCACCAUCUUCCUAGGAGAGACAGUCUAUCUUGGGAGGUACCUUUUUUUAAUUUUGGGUGGUGUUUUGACUUGUAUGAAGUAUAAGAAUUUUUGUUUAAUCAUGUUACUGGUCAGAUUUCUCUUAUUUCCUGUUCUGAUUUUCUCCUCCUCUUCUAUUAUAAGAAAGUGAUCAUUCCAUUUUUAAUGUAAUGCAGAUUUAUUGGAGCAGCUGUAAUUGUUACUGGUUUUUAUUCUGUGAUGUGGGGAAAAGCCAAAGAAGGGAACUCAGGUGUGGAAACUGGAGUAAGAAGCUUAGAAUCAAGCAGCCAAAAGGACCCCCUCUUGCAAAACAACUUUGAAGAAACAUAAAAGUUUGGCAAAAGAGAAAAGGGCCUACAGAAAAAAAUUGGUAAUUUUUACCAUCUUUAUCUGGAAAAUAGAAAGAGGAAAAUGUUUAGAAACAUUUAUCUGGAAAGCUACCUCUGUGCAGAAAUUAAGGUUUGAGCUUAAAAUGGACUUGGUUUUGCUUAUCUUGAGGUCCAGCCCCACUGCCAAUUUAGUUGUGAUGGACCAGCUCUAAAUAGCUUUCAUCAUUCAUCCUUUAAAAUGUUCUACCUUUAUACAGAUAGUCCUAGAAGCAUUUAAUCCAUGACCUAUGAUACCACUUCAACCAUAUACGUAUUUCUUUUUGUUAGAAAUUAUGGGUCAACAUGCAGAAUGUAAAGAUAAUUUCUGUUAAUUUUUGGCGCCUCUGUUCAUGAGGAGACAAUUAAUGCCU